rnacentral:rRNA from 1 species
GACGAACGCUGGCGGCGUGCUUAACACAUGCAAGUCGAACGAAGUGGCGAACGGGUGAGUAACGCGUAGUCAACCUGCCCUUCAGAGGGGGACAACAGUUGGAAACGACUGCUAAUCCCGCAUACUGAAGGAGGGGAUUGCGUCUGAUUAGCCAGUUGGAGGGGUAACGGCCCACCAAGGCGAUGAUCAGUCGCCGGUCGCAGAGGAGGAACGGCCCAAAUGGGACGGAGACACGGCCCAGAUUCCGACGGGAGGCAGCAGUGGGGAAUCUUCCGCAAUGGACGAAAGUCUGACGGAGCAACGCCGCGUGAGUGAUGACGGCCUUCGGGUUGUAAAGCUCUGUUAAUCGGGACGCGGUACCGGAAUAGAAAGCCACGGCUAACUACGUGCCAGCAGCCGCGGUAAUUC